ACGUGCCAGCAGCCGCGGUAAUACGUAUGUCGCAAGCGUUAUCCGGAAUUAUUGGGCAUAAAGGGCAUCUAGGCGGCCAGAUAAGUCUGGGGUGAAAACUUGCGGCUCAACCGCAAGCCUGCCCUGGAAACUAUGUGGCUAGAGUACUGGAGAGGUGGACGGAACUGCACGAGUAGAGGUGAAAUUCYGUAGAUAUGUGCAGGAAUGCCGAUGAUGAAGAUAGUUCACUGGACGGUAACUGACGCUGAAGUGCGAAAGCUAGGGGAGCAAACAGGAUUAGAUACCCUGGUAGUCCUAGCUGUAAACGAUGAUUACUGGGUGUGGGCAUGAAGAGUGUCCGUGCCGAAGCUAAUGCGAUAAGUAAUCCGCCUGGGGAGUACGGCCGCAAGGCUGAAACUCAAAGGAAUUGACGGGGACCCGCACAAGCGGUGGAGCAUGUGGUUUAAUUCGACGCAACGCGAGGAAC
rnacentral:rRNA from 1 species